UCGAAUUUGCAAGUAUUAUCCAAGUUUAUAAGAACAAAUAAUUAUGUAAAACACACUUAUUACUUCCUUUGAUGUCAAAGGAAGGAAGGAAGACUGCUGGAAGAAGAUCUUUUGAGCAAUGAUGAUAAAGAAGUUACAAAAGGGCUGCAAAUUCCAAAUCUUGUAACCCUAACUAUCAAAAAUAAAACGUGAUGGCUCAAUUCCAUAAUUUCUAUAAGUUCGAAACCUUGGUCACAAUCCCCCCUCCCACAAAAAAAUAAUGAUGAUGAUAAUAAUAAAUUCUAAUGUUCGGUGGUUAUUGCUACGUCAAAGUUCAUGAUAUCUACUCGCCAGGCAACAAACGUUUAAAAAUUAAUAAAAGAUUAUAAAAAUGCCUAUGAUUUUUCAACAAUCAUACUACUUGUACAAUGUAUUUUACAAUUUAGUUUACAAUGCAUGACUUGGCAAACUUCAUAUCCAUCUAUUUAAAAAACUAUUUUUAAAAUCAAAGGUCAGGAUUUUUCCAACACACAUGUUGUCAAUCAAGUUGUGCAAAUACAUUGUACAAAUGACUUAUUCAUUUUUCAAGGGCCUAAAAAAAGAACUAUCCAUCCGUAGUAGCAAAUACGUAUAAUAGGGCCAUAAAUUUACAAAUGUUACACCAGAAACAAAUAAUCACAAAACUUCACAUAUAUAACAGUAGAAUGGCGUGUGGCAGUAAAUCACAAAGAUCAGACAAAAUAAGAAUAUUGCAUCUAUACAUAUUGAUUCAUUCUUCUAAUUUUCUGACAAAGGUUUACAUAUAUAAUGAGGAUAUGGAAAUUUAAUUGGGUUGUUUAAUAUAUGCUAUGCAUGUUGAAAGUAAUAUAAACUUGACCAAGUGAACUCUAGAAAUAAAAGGAAGCUCAAAGAUAUCAAGAUGAUGACUUAGUCAAAGUGUAACUUGAUUAAGCAAAAGUUUUUAUUGGGUAGAAGAAUUUUAGACGGUGAAGGAAAAGCUCGUCAUUGGCCGAUAGUUUUUAAAGAAGUUACUUAACCAUUUUGAACUCUUCUUCUAAAGGAGGUAGAAGUUACUUAAGCAUCUUGAACUCUCC
rnacentral:lncRNA from 1 species